UGCCCAGCAACUCCUAUUCCUACCUCCUCGUGGUUCUGGCCGGGGUACGAGCAACAUUAGGGAGGAUCGGGUAAUCAACCCGAGUGGGAACUUUGGUCGUAUGCUGACAGGGAAGG
rnacentral:ribozyme from 1 species